CCGGCACGGGUGAGUAACACGUAUCCAACCUGCCGUCUACUCUUGGCCAGCCUUCUGAAAGGAAGAUUAAUCCAGGAUGGGAUCAUGAGUUCACAUGUCCGCAUGAUUAAAGGUAUUUUCCGGUAGACGAUGGGGAUGCGUUCCAUUAGAUAGUAGGCGGGGUAACGGCCCACCUAGUCAACGAUGGAUAGGGGUUCUGAGAGGAAGGUCCCCCACAUUGGAACUGAGACACGGUCCAA
rnacentral:rRNA from 1 species